rnacentral:misc_RNA from 1 species
AAGUCGUAACAAGGUUUCCGUAGGUGAACCUGCGGAAGGAUCAUUACCUUCCAAUGCAGAAGAGUUGAGAUGGUUGAGUAUCUCGCCUCUCAAUUCUCGCUGUAUUUUACCCUUGUUUUUCUCAUACUAUUAUUUCCUCGGCAGGCUCGCCUGCCGGGUGAAACAACUUCAAACCCGUUUAAUUUUCAAUCAGCGUCUGAACAAAUUAAUAAUUACAA